GAGCACAACCUGUUUUUCUAACAUGCAUUCACUGUGGCAGUUCCCCUUCUCGUGUGUCUGAGGUCGCCUUAAAAGCAAAUAUAUUUGGUUUCAGGAAUGGCCACAAUGAUCCAUCAAGGUGAAUGCUUUGAGAAAAGACUAGCUUUCUUUGUUCUGCUGUUAUCAUGCAUGCAUAAAAAUGUGCGGUUUACAUUCCUACCUUUAAGUUAAUUGAGGUAUACAAUUAUCUAAAGUGGAGCUUUAUUUAAGUUUCUCAUUUGGAGGAUUUUAGAGAAGAAAGGAGUACGAGUAGCAUAUAUCCAAACUAUAAAAGAUAUGUAUGAUGGAGCAAAGACUGCCGUAAGAACUCAUGAAUGACAAACCGAAAGUUUCCCCAUAACUGUAGGGUUACAUCUAGGCUUAGACGAUAUAGUGUUGAUAGAUGAAACUCAGGAAGUGUUGGAAUCUAAAGGUCUUCGCCUAAGUCAAUCAAAGACAGAAUAUAUGGAGUGCAAGUUCACUGCGAAUGGAGACCAAAAUGAGUUAAGGGUGAGGAUCGGAGAUCAGGAAGUACCAAAGAGCGACCGCUUUCGCUACCUAGGAUCUAUCUUGCAAAAGAACGGAGAAUUAGAUUGAGACCUCAACCAUAGAAUACAAGCUGGAUGGAUGAAGUGGAAGAGUGCAUCCGGCGUGUUGUGUGACCACCGUAUGCCACUGAAGCUCAAGGGAAAAUUUUAUAGGACGGCAAUAAGGCCGGCGAUGCUAUAUGGCACGGAAUGUUGGGCGGUGAAGCAUCAACACGUACAUAAAAUGGGUGUAGCGAAGAUGAGGAUGCUUCGUUGGAUGUGUGGGCAUACGAGAAAGGAUAAGAUUAGGAAUGAGAAUAUCCGAGGUAAAGUAGGAGUAGCCAAAAUUGAAGGAAAGAUGAGAGAAAAUAGGUUACGGUGGUUUGGACAUGUGCAAAGAAGGCCUACUGAUGCUCCGGUUAGAAGAUGCGACUACGAGAUAGAGGUCCAAGGCCGAAGGGGUAGAGGAAGACCUAGGAAAACUUUGGAAGAGACUCUAAGAAAAGACUUAGAGUACUUGGAUCUAAUAGAAGACAUGACACAGAACCGAGCGCAAUGGUGUUCUGGGAUUCAUAUAGCCGACCACACUUAGUGGGAAAAGGCUUUGUUGUUAUUGUUGUUGUAUAUUGCGGGCCAAAUUGUUUUCCUGUUAUAAUUGUCCAUCUCGUACAUAUUUUCAUGAGAGCGCUCUAAUUGUUCACAUUCUUACCUUUAAGUUAAUUGAGGUAUACAAUUAUCUACUUGUUUCCAGUUGUGUUAUAAUUGUCCAUCUCUUACAUUUUUUCCAUCUCAUACAUUUAUUUCUCUUUAUGGCACUUCUUCGGCUUUGCACUUUCCUUUUUUGUUCUAAUAUUUUCUAUCACUUUGUUUAUUUUAUUUUUGUUUCCAGUGGAACAUGGUUUCUUUCUGGGAAACUGGCAAAGAUGCUAUUAAUUGACUGUGAGCAGAAUGAUAGUUGCUGCUCAUUGACUAUAUCAGGUAUAAGUUAAAUCAUUCAUUUUGCCAUCUUCUGUUUUGCUAAUUCUUGCAUUGAUGUUAUGUGCUUUUGCUGGUAUAACAUCAUCUAGUUCCAUCUUGAUUUGUUUUGUACUAAAAUAUGUUGAUACAUACAAUAAAAUAGGAAGUACUGGAUUUUUUUUUAAUUUGUUUUUUGUUUUAUUCUUAUAUCUUAGCUUUCUGCUUUGACAUGGAUGAUUUUAAAACGUUGCAGUGCUGGACUUUACCCUGCAUCUCGUGGAGACAGGAUUAAAAAAUGAUGCUGUCCUGGAUUUAAUUGUUUUCUCCAUUCAGUAUGUUCUUGUUAACCAUGAAUACUGGAAAUUCAAGGUGAAGCAUACUCUUUGGAGAGUAACAUUGAAGGUACAGCCUUGAUGAAAACUGAUGGGGUUCAGCCUUCUGGUUUGUGUAUAACUAACAUAAAUUCUGAGCUGGUCCUAUUAAUUGGAUUGCCUCCCUAUAUCAGCCUUGAACCAUCAAACGCCAAGAAAUGACAAGAGAGUAAUUUUAUCAUUAAGAAAUUCCUUUAGAUUUAUAGAAAUGAAAAGAAAUUUGGCAAAUCAAGUUUUUUUUUUUUUUUUUUUUUUUUGUUCAUACGAGCGGUAGGUCUCGGGUUCGAGACUUGGGAGCAGCCUCUUCAUAAAUGGGGGUAAGGCUAGCCGACAUUCACCUCUCCUAGACCCUGCGUAAAGCGGGAGCCUUGUGCACUGGGUACGACCUUACGAGGUCAAAUCCAUUUGCCCUGCAUGCAUUUGAUAUCCUAUUUGUUGUAUCUUGUUAUGCUGUGACGUAUUUGGUUAAUGAGUGCGAAGCCUUUUGUCUUUCUUAUGCCUUCUGCAUUUGUUCUUUAAUUGAUGUAACUUAACCAGUUAAAGAGUAUGAGGCAUAUGACUCAUGAGUCUUUCAAAUAAAAAUGAAUGAGAGUACAGUUAUAUAGGAAGGGGGCUUAGUUAAGAGGUGGUUGUAAAGACUUCCAUUGGGAAGAUAAUCUCUUUGGCCUUUUUCCGUUCGUGUUCGAUUUGACAUUGAUGCCACUAUGUGAGCCUUUAAUGUGGUGGCUAUAGGUUUGAAUUAAGGUCCUUGGAAUGAUAUUUCAAGCGAAGUUAGUUAUUUUCUACAUGAUCUUUGGUUACUUGUGGGAAUGGGGGAAGAAUUGGUUCUUAGGGGGAUGACUAGGUUGAGUACCUUCCUUUUGGCUUUCUGUAUCUACGUUUAGUUGGUUAUAAUUUGUCAUUGAUGUGCCAAUUAACAAUCUCUGCUCUCCUACAUUCCAAACUUCCAAUGAGCCGGAAUUUCAAUUUCCGGAGAAAUUUGAAUGAUUUUCUCUCCUUUUGUUCCGUAGUUUGAAUAAUGUUCCAGAACUGUUGAGUAGAUAACAAGCUGGUAUAGGACUUGUGUACCUUUAAUGGAUUACUUGUUCUCUGUUGUCCUAAUUUCACCUCAUUCUAGUAGUGUUGUUCUGUUUAUUAUCGAAGAAAAGAAAAGAAUAAAAGAAUCAAGUUGAAAGCAUAUUUUUAAGCUGAUACACGUGAGCCCAAUAGCCAAGCUUGUAAAAGAAUUCCUAUCUGAAAUUCUGUCUGCAUCAAUGUGUGCAUGUUAGGGAACCGCAAUGUGCAUCAAUGCAUGCAUGCAUGGUACUGAACAUUGUUUUCUGCACCUGAAUGUCGCUUCUCAAGGCUAGUUAAUCUACUCUAUUUACUCAGUUAUUGAGGUCUCUGAAAUGAAACUUGGUGUUGUAAAUGUCGAUUACGGUGGGAGGGUCAAUUUUUACAUUAUUUUACUGGUUCAGGUGCUAGAAGUGAUGAAAAAAAUUAUUACAUCAGUAUCAUACUCUGAAAAGUUGGAUGAAGUCAUCCUGGAUAGGUUACUGUCUGAUUCGUCCAUCCAUAGUAAACUACCCAAGCACUGGAGGUGGGUUAUGUUAUGUAUCUUUUAAUCUUAUUUGGUAAUGACCUGCUGUUGUUUUUGUUCUAAUCACUAAUUUGAGAGCAUUUUUCUGCAGAGACUUUAUUUCAGCCGGCUCAUUGAUCUAACAGAGAUUGAAGGUCUACAGAUGGCUAUAUGUUCCGUUUUAGAUAUCCUUUUCAUCAUGCUCUCUAAAUUUUCUAAGGUAUUUGGAAAUAAGCUUGUUGAAUACACAUUUUGAUUGCAUGCUAUGUUUGAAAGACUUUUAAAGUUGCACAUGUUACAAUUUUUUGGGAUUAUAUUAGAUGAUGCGCAGAUGUGUUCUGUUUCUGUUCAAAAGUGAGUUUUCUUGAUGUACGGUACAAGUUUAAAAAAUAAACCAACCCUCUAGCUUGCUUUAAAAAGUAAAUGAGCAAUGAACGGUAUAACGAAAUGUUGUGUGUUCUUUUACCUAUUUUAUGGAGUAUUCUGUGCUUUUGCCAACUAUAUGCAUCUGUGAUGGAUAUCUUUCUUUAUUUGAAAUAUGAUGGUUGCAUUUUUAUUUUGUACUGUAGGUCCAUAGUUGAUGUUCAGUUAUGUUUAUUUUCAGGAUAUAUCUUCCAGUCCUCCAUUUUUUCAUCAAGCAGUUUUCUCAUCAGCUAGCAGACCAAUUCCUAUUGUUGCAGCGCUUGUGUCCUUGAUAUCUUACUUUCGCAAUCCUGUAUGGCCUUUCUCCAUACUCAAUUGUUAUUGAUUACAUUCUCUUCAUUGCGUUUGUAAAUACUAUAGUUAUAUGGUUCUUCCAUUUCGGUAACUGUGUAUUUACCUGUACAUUAUCAAAUUAUAACGUUGUUUUUUCUUUUUGUUAUUUCUGCUGGAAGAGUUCCUCAUUUACUUGUCUCCAUAUCUAUGUGAUUGUUGCUAUGUAGGAGUUGCAUGUCAAUUUGUUUCUGUUUUAUAUACUUUGUAGAACACAUGGAUUCAUAGGAAACUUGUACUUGUAUUCAGUGGUUUGUUACUCAGACCGUUGGGCAUGAUAGGCGUAAUGCUAAUCUUUUUUACCUUCAAACCAGAAUGCCCUACUUGAUUGUAAUGGCUUUGUGCACAUCUUAUUUGCAUUUAAUUAUGAAAAGGUUGGGCAGACUAUAAAUAUGGGGGAAUGUGUCCUUGUUGACUUGACCUUAAUUGUUUGCUUUGCUUGGUGGUAGGUGGGAUAAUAAUCUCAUAAUUGUUGAGCAUCUUUAUUAAUAUUCUCAAGUUCUCAAUGCAGGGAAUACAAGUUGGUGCUGCUAGGGUUUUAUCACUGUUCUUGAUGAUGGCUGAUUUUUUGGUCGGAUCGGAUUGGAAACAAGCAUUCCAAUCCACUCCAAAAGGGGUUGGAAUCAAAUAUUAGUUCCAAUUUCGGAUUUUGGAUUAUGAGAAUUUAUCAGAAAUUUCAAAAUUGAUUUUAUCUCGGAAUUUUUGGAAUAUAAUUCGUAUCUCUUGCAUUUUGCAAGACUUUGAAAAUUUUCAAACUUUUAUGUAUCCACCAUUCAAUAUUUUUUCUGAAUUUUUGCAAUAUUUGUAGGCCGCUGCAUGUGUGUUAUGAGAUAAAAUCAUAUUAGAUAAAAUAAGUUCUAGUCUUAUUUUUUAUUUUUCUACGAAUCUAUUAAUUUUAACUUGUGAAUUAUGUCUCUGGUUUUGUUUUCACUUUGGUUGGCUGUUUAUCACUUCUUUUUUCAUCUUCAUACAUUCUGUGAAUUUGUUGGUUAUGUUUUAUGAGUUGAAGCUUUUGGUUUUCCUCUUAAGUUCACUGCUCUAGGAAAUAGUCAUUUUUUGUAUAAGAAAGUUUCUCAUUAUUGUGUUCAAUCUGCUUCAUGACAUACGUUAGUACUAACCUAUUAUCUACACUAAGGGGUGGGGGAGUGGCUUUGGCGAGAAUCGAAAAUAAGACCUCUCACUUACAAGUGAAGAGUAAUACCACUGGACCCUAUUGCAAUAAUGUGGUUCAAAUUCGCCUUUGGCGAGAAUCGAAAAUAAGACCUCUCACUUACAAGUGAAGAGUAAUACCACUGGACCCUAAUACUAAGUGGCUUAUAGCUUCUUAAUUUUUAGAAUGCAAUAUUCAUACCUCUGUAACUUCACAGGUUGCUGCAAGUGUAAUCACUGCUUGUGUGAUGGUGAACUUAUCAAUUGGUGAUGCAGGAAGUUUGUCUAUGUCAUUAGUUGAGAAGUCCAGUAACACGUCAAAUAAGGUUCAUUCCCUUCUUGAUUGUGUUACUUAAUUUGUAAUCCAAGAUGAUUGUAUGCUGAGAAACCCAUAAAAGGUUCAAUUUAGUUUCUAAUUUCAUAGAUUCUCGUAUUUAGUACUUUCCGUUUUAGUAAAAUUGAGAUUGUAUAAUUUGCAUCAUAUCUGAUUGCUGUUAUCUUUCUUCUCACCCUUCUUCAUUGGCAGCUGAGAAGUCAUCCUGCUUUUUCUGAAUUGUUAGCUCAAUACUCACAGCAUGGUUACAGGUAACAUGUGUGCUAUUGUUAAUUUCAGUUGGAAUUUCUAGGUAAGGCUAGCCGACAUUCACCUCUCCCAGACCCUGCGUAAAGCGGGAGCCUUGUGCACUGGGUACGACCUUUAGCACUGCCACUUUUGAACAAGGCAUUUGUAAGUCAACAAACUGCCUCUAUACAGUACCUCUCCUGAGGAUUCUGGAUAUUUAUAACUGCCCCUUCCGGUCAAUGUGUUCUUAUAGUGUGAGCUGUGUUAUGUGUGAUACUUUAGUUUUGAGUUCUUGUCUUUGACAGACCGUCUAAGUGGUGACAUGCAGUCAUAAGUUUGGGAGGUUAAAUUUGCAUAGGCUUUGAAUACCAUAUUUGGUUUUUUUUAUUUGUUUCACAUAUACUCUUUUAAUAACCUGUGUUAUAUCUCAAAAGAAUGCUGAGACUACCACGUGGAUAAUGGAAUCAAUGAAUAAUGCGUGUUAUGUAUGUGCCCAUGUAUGAAUAAUAUAUAAUCUUAUUUUCAGUGCAGGGAAAGAGCCAAACUAUUUGAUACUUAGUGAUCUCUACUAUCAUCUGCAAGGACAGCUUGAAGGCCGUGAAAUCCGUGCUGGACCAUUCAAAGAACUCUCUCAGUUCCUAAUUGAAUCAAAUAUUUUUCAGACUUACCAACACAAGGAUGAUGGUGAUCUUUUUGUGACUGGAAGAGAUACAUACUUAUUUGAUCUUAAAUUUGUACGUGCUGAUUUGGGGUUAGAUCUUUGGGAUUAUUCAAAAUGGAAAGAAUCGAAGGCAACUGCAGAAACAAUGUUGCAUCACAUGAAAGCUGCAAACUCAAUGGCGAUGCUUACAAGUUCGAAGCUUUCUGCACUGAGAGCAUUAAGAAGUGUCUUAACUGUAUACGGGGAGGAUGUGAGUACUCUCUUAGAGUUUCUAAUUGCUUUUAGAUGCUUUCUUUAGAAAUUUGAUAUGCAGUGUCCUUCCGUUGAGGAAUCCCUCAACGAAAGGGGUCUGAUAAUAUCUGUAACUGCAUUUUAGGGUUGGAUAUUUUAAGGAUCAUGCAGAUGUAAGAGAUGUAAUGUUUUUGAAACAUGUUACAUCUGAUGCUAAACAAAUGUUAAUGCCUAAUAUUCUACAGGAACCUGUAAAGUUUGUGUAAAAACUAUUUCAAACAUUGAUUUCUCAUUUCAAAUCUUUUGGAAGUUGAACAGCAUCAGUGAUAUUGCAGUCUGUGAACUCUAUGCUAUACCUAUGUCAUGUCUACUUAAGUACUGAAGAAUGCAAUCAAAUAACUAGGACCUACGGCUAGAGUAGUAACUCUCAUGAUAUAAGAUGUGUCAAGUUUGUAUUGUUCAAAAUCGGGGUAUGAAUAGUAAAAGCAUGUAAUGGUAACUGGAGAAUGUGGAUUUCAUUUCGAAAUACUCUUUUAAUUAAUUUCUAUUCAUCUUACAAUGAACGGUUGUGAAGUCAUUGCAUUCCCGUUAAAUCAAGAAUAUGACAAGAAAAACCGAGAUGAGGAGGUUUUGAGUGUUUUGACAUAUAGUGAAGGCUACUUUGUCUUCGAUAAGACACAUGAUCUAAGCCUCCUGCUUUCAACAGUAGCAUCUAGAUGCUGAUCAGCACGGUAUUUUUGUCCUUGUGUUAAAGGUCGAUGAAUUUUUUUGUUGUGACAGUUUAGUUCUUGUCACUUUGUUGCUUUUACAAAUAUCUUAUUUCUUUUGAAAUUAAGUCAUGUGUACCUGCUACUGCAGUCACUGGAGACAAAGAGUACAGUGAGAUGGAUCCCUGAUCAACUUGUUUUCUCAUGCAUAGAUCACAUAUGCCUGAGCUUCCACAACACAGUAGAAUCAUGAGCUCCAGUACCCAGCGCUUCUGAAGAUAUCUUUCACUUCCUUGCGGCUCAAGCAGAAUUGCUUCUCUAUCUUAUGAUGUAUGCACAUAAAAGCCUGCCUUUAUCUGUUUGCAUUCUCGUACUAAAAACACAAGGUUCUGGCCUUUAAGUGUUGAGUGAUUUCAGAGCAUUAGUUACCGGGCCAUCAGUUAUGGGGGUUGACACUGUAGUAAAGCUCUUACUUAUGUUGCUUCUCUCAGCAGUGGAGUUUGGUUGUCAUAAGUUGCAUUUGGUUGGGGCAAGAGAUAUAAUUUCUGUCGAAGACAUGGCUAAAAUAUCUAAUGUGAGUCUUGGUCUACUACCAGUUCUCUGUAACUGUAUUGCUACUGCUGAGCACGGAACCCUCUCCCUAACUACUAUGGACUUGAUACUUCGAAAUUUCUUGACUCCCAACACUUGGUUCCCCAUUAUACAGAACCACCUCCAGCUUCAGCGUGUGAUUCUGAAGCUUCAAAAUAAAAAUUCUCUUGAGUCUGUGCCUGUUAUAAUGAAUUUCUUUUUUACUCUUGCCCGUUUUAGGCGGGGUGCAGAAAUGCUUAUUAAUUAUGGCUUUCUCUCGUCUCUGAGAUUCUUGUUCGCUGAAUACUUGGAUGGUACGUCUUCUUCCGAAACUAUUGAUAACAGAAAUUCCAACUCAUCAUCUAAGAAACUGGAAAAGCCUCCGCAAAUAUGGGGACUUGGUUUGGCAGUCAUCACAGCUAUGGUUGAGUCAUUAGGAGACAGUGCUGCUUGUUCCAAUCUUGUGGAGAAAGUACUACCUUACUUCUUUUCAGAGAAAGACUAUAUGAUUUCUUACUAUCUAAGUGCUCCGGAUUUCCCAUCUGAUGAUCAUGACAAGAAAAGACCUCGGGCUCAGCAGAGACAAACUUCUCUUACUGAUCUUAAAGAAACUGAGCACACUCUCAUGCUAAUGUGUGUGCUAGCAAAACAUUGGAAUUCCUGGGUUAAGUCUAUGAAAGAAUUGGAUUCCCAGUUGAGAGAGAAAAGUAUCCAUCUUUUAGCCUUUAUCAGUAGGGGAACUCAAAGGCUUGGAGAACCUUCUAGUCUUAGUGCCCCUCUGUUAUGUCCUUCUGUCCUUAAAGAGGAAUUUGAUGGCUGCAAGAAACCCUCAUUUAUCAACAGUAAAAGUGGAUGGUUUGCCCUUUCUGCCCUCAGUUGUGUUUCAAAACCAAAAUUCUCCACCAUCCCUACCACAUCUACUGCGCUGGUUAUUAAAACUCAAGCAACUGUAAAUGGCAGUCACAUUUCUCAGUCAUAUUUCUCUGACUCUAUUGCCCUACAGAUCUACAGAAUAACUUUUCUCCUUUUGAAGUUCCUGAGCUUACAAUGCCUGAGAUCUUACAUGGCUUACAGGUACGACGAUAAAUUUUGUUCUUUGAUUAGCUUUUUGUUUCGUUAUGCAAAACUAUAUCUGGUCUACAAUAACUUGUAAGUUUUGAGGUGGCGUUCCUUUUUAAUGUGGAUGUGUUAUUAUCUCUAAUGUAGGACCAAGCAAUUACAAUUGUUACAGAGCUGUGUGAGGUUAACAGAUCAAACGAGAUUCAAAUUGAAGUCCAGAGUAUCUGUUGCUUACUGCUACAAAUAAUGGAGAUGGCCUUGCACUUGGAACUCUGUGUUCUGCAGAUAUGUGGCAUAAGACCCGUACUAGGUCGUGUGGAGAGGAUUUUUCAAAGGAAGUUAAACAUUUAGUAAAAGGUAAAAACUCCCAUUUAUCUGCAUGUCUUCCAGUUGCAUUGAAUACGUAGUUUGUUACCAAGCUACUGGACGUUCAGUGAGUACUUGAUGUUUUCGUGUAAUGUGUUUUGUAGCGACGGAGAGACAUGCUUUCCUCAAACCAUCUGUGAAGUCCUUGAAACAGAUAUUAUCGGUCGUUUAUCCCGGAUUAUUACAGGCUGACGAGUUUCUGUGAGAUAGUCUUGUGCAUAUAGGCGAAAACCGAAAACUGUAAGGCUUUGCAAUGUAAUGUAAAAACUCUGCAUCACUUAAAAGGAAGGCUCAGAUGAACGGCUUUAGAAAUAUUCCACAUUUUGGUUAUAAAAUUGUGGGGUUUCGUUGAGCCAUUGUUUUUUGUAUUAUAUAUUGAAUUGCUUUUAAAAAAGAUGUGUUGUAUGAUUGAUGGGCAAGAUUUUGUUGAAUCCGUCGGCCAUUUUUCAUUGUCGCGUGCGAAUUUCCUGCCCUUCCCUUUUCCAAAGUUGAUUCCGUCAAGAGUCUCUGUCUCUGUCUCUCGUGUAAUUUACACGAAUUUUGAUUUGAAGGGAAGAUCCAUGGGACGGAGUAAUGAGAUUCAGGCCCUUUAAACAAAGACAUCUUUUUCUUUCUUUUUUUUGGAAACAUAGGGAAUAAUUGUAGAAUUCAUUUCGUAUUGAAUUUUAAUGAUUCGAUUUGUCUAUUUUGUAAGUCUUGAUUCAUAGAUCAUUUUUGCAAAAUUUCAAUUCAAUUCGAUACCAUUUGUCUAUUUACUAGUCAUAAUGAAAUUUCAAUGUUUUUAAGAGCAUGGUGUGUUGUCAAUUUCUUUGAACUAAAUUAGAUGCCUAAGAUAUUUUUGAUUUGGUUAAUAUUUUACAAGUUAAUCUAUGAAAUGCAACUUGAAAAAUAAAUAAUUCGAAUUGUUAAAAUUCGACGUGAUGUGAACCCCACGACUAUUUUUCAUUUUUGAGAAAAAUGGAAGUCUUUUCCCUUAAAGACUCUGAUUGUUACUACAAUACUCAGCGAUGUGCCUCACAUUGUUUUAUUGUCCUUGCUGUGCCACUUCUAUAUUUGUGUAAAUACAGUGAAAGAAUUUUAUAUACAUUUGUUUAUUUUUUGCACAUCUGGUUUCAAUUCUGACUUUUGAUUUCGCUACCAAUAACUGAAAAAAAAAAUGCAAGAGGUGAAAAUCAAUUUACAAAAAUAAUAUCCCUAAAUACGCAAGUUUAGAAAGUUGGAAGGACAAAACUUGAGAUUCAUAGGAAAAAUCUAAAAGAAAAACUGAGACAACUGUCCAAGUAACGGUGACCACGUAAUGAAUGCUACGAGAACAUAUGUCCAAGCACUUAACAAAAAUUGCCAUUUUGAAAUAAAUUGAAGAUAAUCCCCUAACUUUACUAAACAAAGUGCCCUCCUCUUUUUAGGAACAAUGACCCUUUAACCAUAUUACUUCUAUUCAUUUCUGAUUUAUAUUUUCCAUUAUGAAGAAAAUUAACAAACUAAUCUUAAUCUGCUUGUUGGUUGGAUCAAUCCGAAAGAGAUCUUUUAAUAUGUCUAAAAUACGAUGCGGUAUAUCAUAUUUUAUUAUAUAAGUAGGGGAUUUUUUUUUUCUUUCAAGUAUUCAUCUUUUCGUAUAAUAACAUAUGAUAUAUGUGUAUGUUUCGAGCACUUUGAAAAUCUCACAUCAACCCACAUUUCCAUGGUUGGUGGAUCCAUGCUCCACGGGUAUAAUCAUAUUUAAUAAAUAUAAAAAUAUAAAAAUUGGUUCCCCUGAUCCGUAAUUUCAGAUCUUUUGGCUUCAUAUAUUUGUUGACAUCUGAAUAACCUCGUGAAAUCUCCACUGUUGGAUCUGCUCCAGAGAAGGUCAGUAAUUCAGUCAAAUUGUCAGUGUUAACUUUUUAUUAAAUCCACACCCGAAACCCCCGAAUAGCAUCUUAUCUUCUCCUCAUGUGUCGACGAACCCUUACCCGAAAGCAAAAAUGGUUUCAAAAGUAAAGAAGAUAUGUCUUUCACCAAGAUCAUCAAAUCAAAUGAUUUGAACUUUUAAAAUUUCAUUCAACUAUAAAAUAUUAUUAUAGUUUUGAAAAGUUUAAAACAAGUGGAUCGUUGGAUAAAAUUUUAAAUGUCUGAAUCACUUAAUCAUAUGAUAUUGGUAAAAAAAUCCGACAAUGAUAUAUUCUCUCAAAAGUGAAAUUAUGAGAGAGUCGCUUUAUAAUAUUAUAUUUUAUAACGAUGGAACGAAAAUUACUGUAAAAAUCAGACUCAAAAGUGAGACUCUAACUCAAUAAUAACUCAUGUUAUGACACAGUAUCUUCUGUUAUUGAAAUGAAAAUUAACGUUAAAUUAUAAGAUGACAGUCGACCUCAUCCGAAAAAUAACAAAAGCAUAUACCCAGCAUACCCACUUCAUUCAACCUCGGAUCCCAAAAUACACCACGGUUAAAAACCCGACCCAACCACGGUUAGCCCGUCCCUCUUCGGAUUCGCUCCACGUUUUUCAAUCCAACGGAUGAAAAAAACUUGACCUAGACAUUCCCCGCAGAAACCCUUUUAUAAAGGGAACUUUAACGAAAAGCACCCGGUACUGUUCACUUUAACGAAAAAUCACAUUUUUACACUAAAAAGUCAAUCUUGGUACUAUUCACUUUACCCUUUAUUUUGUCCUUAUUAUUAAAACUCAAAGUUUUCAAGCCCUUUUCAUUAGUUUUCAUUUUAUAAACCCCCGCGUCUUCGUGAUCUGGUCCACGCAUCACAAACCCCAAUCCCACUCUCUUCAUUCUCUCCUCUAGAACGAACCGCAAUGGCAAACCCUAAGGUUUUCUUUGACAUGACGAUCGGAGGCCAGCCGGCCGGCCGAAUCGUGAUGGAGCUCUUCGCCGACACCACCCCCGCACCGCCGAGAACUUCAGGGCUCUCUGCACCGGCGAGAAGGGCAACGGCCGCUCCGGCAAGCCCCUCCACUACAAGGGAUCCGCCUUCCACCGCGUGAUCCCCGGGUUCAUGUGCCAGGGAGGUGACUUCACCGCCGGAAACGGCACCGGAGGAGAGUCGAUCUACGGCGCCAAGUUCGCCGACGAGAACUUCAAGAAGAAGCACACCGGACCUGGAAUAUUAUCCAUGGCCAACGCGGGUCCCGGAACCAACGGAUCUCAGUUCUUCAUCUGCACAGCCAAGACCGAGUGGCUCGACGGCAAGCACGUGGUGUUCGGGCAGGUGAUCGAGGGUCUGGAUGUGGUGAAGAACAUCGAGAAGGUCGGAUCUGGACAGGGAAGGACCUCGAAGCCGGUGGUUAUCGCCGACUGCGGCCAGCUAUCCUAGACGCCGCCGCUUGGGCUGCUGAUGUAUGGACGAUGGAAACGUCGUCGUGUUAUGUGAUGAGUGUUUAAAUUUGGGUAUUAAAGUAGGUGGGGUCAUAUUAGGGUUUGGGUUAUGGACCUUAUUAUGGUUUUAAUUUUCUAAUUUUCCGUAUAAUGCUCUUCCGGUGGUUUCUUUGCUGAGACUCUCAGAUUCUUUAUUCUGUAUUGAAAUGAGCUAUUAUCGUUAAAUAAAAUAGGUCUUGUUCUCAAUUAUCAUUUAAUUAUUAUUUGUUAAUUGUUGAUCCACUUGUGUUUAUGAUAAUUUGGGUGGCUAGAAAUUUAGUCAAAUUUAUGAAUUUAUGAUUUUGGAUUGUUGUGCUUGUUGGCAUCUUCAAUAACUUGUAUUGGAAAAUGAAAUGUUGGAGGAGAGCUUGUUUUUGUGGUUACAAUCUAGUAAUGUAUCUUAUUGUAUUACUUGUUUAUGAACUUGUAAAUUCUUUUUUAAAGAAUUUUAAUGAAAAGUUUUGGGUACUGUUUAUUUUGACUAAAAUUUAUAUUUUUACACUAAAACUAAAAUGUACUAUUUAAUUUAUUUUUUAUUUUAUCAUUAUCGUUAAAAUUUAAAAAAUUUCUAAUAAUUUUUAUUAGUGUUCCUAUUCUUUUAUUUUAUUGCAUAAAAGAAGGGAGAGAUAGGAGGGGUGGGUUUUGGAUGAUGUCAGAUAUUUGAUUAUUUGCAGGCAGAUGAUGAUUUAGUCAUUUUCUCAACUUGUGAUAAAUUUCUUAUGUCAACGUUAGGGGUGGUCCAUCCAAUGCAUACCAUCAAUAUUUAUUUCAGAUAUAUUAAUAUUCUCUUUUGGAGCAAGAAAAGUUGGAUUUGAAUUAUGAACAGUGGUUUUGGUGAAGUCCUUUUGUAAUUCUAUAGCCACCACGGCUUGCGGUGUUUGUGUAUACUUUGGUUGCCACACGUGUUACUUUUUGUUUGGAGAUUUGGUUGCCUUGCAUGCUACGGUCACUCACGUAUGUGUUAUAUAUACAGUCUUUGUUAUCUCUCAACAAAAAAAAAAAAACACAAAACAAGAAUCCUGCUACAAAUUUAGCGGAGAAGGACACUCCAAAAUCCAAUGGGGAAGGAACAACUGAGCAUCUAAAUUUUCACACAAUCCAAACACCAUCACAGAAAGUUGGAGAGUAAACUUAAAUUAUUCAAACACCAAUCCAAAACCCCCAGUCCACCUUUUGGCGCAUCCGCCCGCCGCUGUCAUCCAACUGAUCACCUGAUUUACUGUAACCCUCCCGUUGUAGUGGAUGCAUGCAGUAGAUGUGCUGUGCCCAUAAAUCAACUGCCCAGCCUGUGCACAAGCUUGUGCAUGUGACACCUGUCCUCUCCCUCAUAACUGGAGUUUAACAGCGUUAAAAUUUAAAUAAAUUGAAAGACCGAACAAAGCUACUGCUACCGUCGCCAAAGCAGAUCCAACGCAACAUGGCUUCCAAACCCAUUUGCCGCCGGCGAGAUCCACUUCGGCGAAGGCGAGUUGAAGUUUUCUUAUUUUUCCUUAAUUUUAUUUUUUUUAUUUUUUCCGUCAAGUUAACAGAGUUAACAUGUUGUUAAGUCCUAGGACACUUGUCAACAUCUGGAUGUAUGCAAAGGGACUUUGGGCACAGCAGAUUUGCACUCGUUGACGUGGCGCCUGCCAGAAGAGGAAGGACACGCUCGUCAUUUCAGUAUGGCCCCGCAACAAGUCACAGGCCAAGAGAAUCUGCUCCCGCAACAUGGGGGUAACCAGCGCGCCAAGCAGGGAAUCAUUACCUCGUUCCGGACGGCCACCGGAAACUUCCCACAAGACGACGGAACUUGCGAGUCGCAAGCAAGAGAGGAUUUCAACCUUAGCAAAUAAAUCAGGAAUAAAUAUUUAGAAUUAGUAGAAAUUACAAAUCGCAAUCAGAUCGCUCGCUCUCUCUUUCUCUCUACUCUUUGAGAGCUUUGGAGGCGUAUUGCAAUUUAUAGAGAAAUAGAGGAGAGAGAAACCCUAGAGAGAGAGAGAGAGAGAGAGAGAGAGAGAGAGAGAGACCGAUGGGGGUUUCGGAGAAUACAAAGGGGUUGAUACUGGCGAUGGCGUCGAGCGCCUUCAUCGGGGCGAGCUUCAUCCUGAAGAAGAAGGGUCUCAAGAGCGCCGCCGCCGCCGGCACCCGAGCAGGUAAAUUUUAGUUGAAUGUAAUCCCCAAAAUAUUGUGAACUGGAGUAAAUUACAAAUAUUUAAUCAAAUGAUUCAAUUUUAAAAAAUUCUUCUAAUUGAUGGGUUCCAGAAACCCAACUGGCUGAUUGAUUUGUUAUGGUGAUCUCAUUGAUUUGUUUGAUUGAUAAUUUGUCUAAUUUGAGUUGUGUAGGAGUUGGUGGGUAUACAUACUUACUAGAACCUCUCUGGUGGGCUGGCAUGAUCACCAGUAAGUGUAGCUCUAACACUUUCCCUGCAGAAAAUUUGACUGAAUUCCUAAGUAGAUAUGAGUUACUGAUAUUCGGUUUUCGAUUUUUCCAACUGGGUAGUGAUUGUUGGGGAAGUUGCCAAUUUCGUGGCUUAUGUAUAUGCUCCGGCGGUUCUUGUAACACCACUUGGUGCACUGAGUAUAAUCGUCAGGUAAAUGCACUUGUAUAACACUCAGUUCAUUUCUGUGCUGAUUAUUGUCUGAAAGUUUGUGUUACCAACUUACGGGUUUGUUGGAUUUGUCCAGUGCUGUUUUGGCUCACUUCUUGUUGAAGGAACGAAUAACGAAAAUGGGUAUUGUGGGAUGUCUUACCUGCAUCGUGGGAUCAGUUGUGAUUGUGAUCCAUGCACCUCGGGAGCAUAGUCUAAAUUCUGUAGAGGAAAUCUGGGUCCUGGCGACCCAAACAGGUUCGUGAAUCAUGACUUCUAUCUCGUCCUUUUCUCUUUCAAUGCUACUUGUCAGAAAACCUUCAUUGGCUUGUUUAACUUGUCGUGUUUUUCCUUUCUACACAGCCUUUCUGAUUUAUGUUGCAGUUACAAUUACCCUAGUGUUAGUUUUGGUCUUGCAUUUUGAACCUCAGUAUGGACAAACGAACAUACUAGUCUAUUUGGGAAUCUGUUCCUUGAUGGGUUCACUUACGGUAACUAUCCUUUUCUUGUUUGCUAAAUACGUAUAGUCAUUUUGUUCUUAUAUGUUCAAAUUGUUAGGUGCUUAGCUUUGUACAUUGUGCUACUUCAGGUUGUAAGCAUAAAGGCAAUUGGAAUUGCUAUAAAGCUGACCCUUGAGGGAGUAAGUCAGAUAGCUUAUCCACAGACAUGGUUUUUUCUGACAGUUGCAAUAAUCUGCGUUGUUACACAGUUAAAUUACCUUAACAAGGUCAGUAUUGAUCUUUUAAUUUUGGCACCUUCCUCCAAGACCAUCGUCACUAGCAUUUAUGUGGUGACUAGCCAUUUUUUUGCUAAAUGUCUGCUCUUCCUGCAAUGCCUAAUUUGUAUUUGCUUUCUUAGAUCCUGUUCAGCCCAUUUGUUUAGCUUUUGACUACAUCGUGUUCCUAGCCUAUAAAGGAGGGGCAAUUGAUGUAUACCACUUUUGCUAUAUAACGUGUCAAUUUACUAUAUAACUUGUCAAUAUAAUAGCAGUAGAUAAAGCAUAGAGUAUUUACGUUCUGAUAAAUUUGGAAAUUUCUCAAAGUCUUUUCAAUUGAAAUUUGAAAGUAAGUUUAAGUUGGUUUACUUAUUGAAAAAUUCAGCUUAUCACAUGCUGCUUGGAUGAUAAUCUUGUUGGUAUUCUCCUUCAGCCAUCUUUUAACUCAGAUCUCUCUAGAAGUUCGGAUUAUAAAUAAUUACGUGCUGAGUCUGGUAUCACUUAUGUUGCCAGCAUCUUUGUUUCAGGCUUUGGAUACAUUCAAUGCUGCAAUUGUUGCCCCAGUAUAUUAUGUGAUGUUCACAACUCUGACCAUAAUUGCUAGUGUAAUAAUGUUCAAGGUAGAUUUCUCGAUCUAUAUACUGGGGUUUCCUUCUGAUGCCUUAGUUUGUUACUUGUUUGUCAUGCAAUUAUGAAGACAUCGGAUUCCGAUUUCACGUUGUUUUCUUUAUUCUAUGCAGGAUUGGUCUGGCCAGAAUGUAAGCAGCAUAGCCUCUGAAAUAUGUGGAUUCAUCACUGUGCUGUCAGGAACCAUCAUACUCCAUGCAACAAGAGAUCAGGAACCACCUGCUCCACAACCACAAGGUAUAUAUAUGGACUUUGUUUCCUUAACCUGUAUUAUCUGGGAUUUGGGGCUCUUUAUUAUACUUAAUUUCGCCUUUAAAUUCAAAUCAAUAUAACAAGUAAAAAUUCUGAUCUAAUAAACAGCAUAAAACAGAUGCUGCAAGAUAUUUGGUUUCCUCAUGAUAGGACAGGAAUAAAAUUUACAAUGUGGUAACAUUCCAUCACCAUUGUAACUACGACUCUGGUUGAGCACCAAAAGAGAAAAAAAUAGUUUGCAUGGUGUGUUUCUUUAUCGGGUUGAACUGUUUCAGGAGUUGGUGUGAUUAACACAUUGGUUUGACUAAGGAUCAUGUUACAGUUACACUUACAGUGGACUAUAAUAUCUACUUUCUUUGCUUGUGAUUGGUACCAGGAAACUCUCUUCACAGUGCUUUUAAAUCUUAGUAUACGGUAAAUCUUUGUAUUGGGUAUUGACUUGAACUUACAGUAAUUCUUCUCUUCAUCGCAGGAACUGUAACAUGGUACAUUAGAGGAGAUUCAGUGAAGAGUUCUGAAGAUGAACGUUUGCUCACUUUACAGAAUUCAGAUUAUCCUGAACCGUGAUACCAAUUAAUCUGCAACAAUCAUCUUGAAGAAUGCAAUCCCAAGCAAUGAAGCUGUGCUGCAACUAUCAUUUUGAUAGGAGUGAGUCUGUGGGCAUCCAGCACAUUGCUAACCAUUUUACCCUUACUCUUCUAAACAAACAUUGCACUCCCAUCCACCGUCCCCAUUCGUCCCCUUCCCUCCAUCCCAUCGCUGGCCUGUUUUAUAAUUUCUUUUCUUUAGCAUGUGUUGGGUGCCAAUAGAACCACCCUUUAAAGAGUGUUUGCAGAUGGGGAGCUCAUGGUUUCUUCUAGGCAGAUAUUGGAGCUAUUAGCAGAUUGCGGAGUUAAUUUUAUGUGCUUCAUCGGCCAGCAGAUGAGGCUCUCAGUGAGGUGUGUUUGUGGCACCCCUCUGAAUGCUAAGUCCUGAAUCCUCCUCCGUCAGGAGUGGGGUUACAGUUCUGUAUCAAUACCAGGGAAUAGAGAGACCUGUGAUACUGGCAAUGUCCAAUCUCUCACGACGGGCUAAUGGCAUCUGUACAUAAUGAUGCUCAGCUUCUCAUUCACUAGUUUCGUUCAUGAUCCUCGUUCAUGUCCGAAUGAGUUUGAUUGUUUCCUCUCUUUCUAGUGUGUAUGUCAUACCGGCAUUGAUAGAUUAUAGAAUAGAGCUAUAGACAGAGUUACGUUUUAACGGGCAAAUACUACAUGGAAUAUGUAAAUCUUGUAUAAACUCUUCAAUUUUGGGUUCUCUUGUCAAUGAGUUUACCUUUUUUCUGAAAGAAAAAAAAGACAUGGAUGGCUUCACUCACAAAUGUGAAAUGUCCAUUUACAUGUAUCCGAAUCUGCAGAUUGUGCAAUAUUUUACAAUUUGAAUGUAAUCUUUCCAAAUUGCUUUAGCCCAUAAGAAAUGAUAAAUAGUGGGUUCUAGGUAAAAAGGGAAAAAGGGAAAAAGGGGAAUCACUCAUUUCAAUUUCAAUCCUAUGGCUAUCGACACAUAUGGGAAAAUUGGAAUAAGUUUAUAAUGGAAUGCAUUCAAUUCAACAAAAAAGACCUUAGAGGUAAGGUAACGCUCUUGACCAGUUAAAUUAUAAGUUAUUUUUGGGUAUAAGUGUGUCAAUGCAUAUUUUAAACUCCUUCGAAGUUAAAAUUCUAUUUAUUUUUCUUAGAUAAUGACUUUAGCACCUCCGUUCUAAAAUACCCCAUGUUGAACCAACUAGCCUUUUGUUUCGUGAUAGAGGAAACAGAGAUUGUAAGGUAUCCCCCUCAUUACAAAAAAAUAUACUCCCAAUUCAAAUUUGAAAAUGUGUAGAAAUUACACUAAAUUUGUUAGCCCUUUUUUGGUAUAUGAGAAAAUCUAAGUUGUAAUCAGGUCCCCUUUUCGUUUGUAUACGGGGAAUUCUAAGUUUUAAUCGUGUUAUAUGUAAUGAGAGAUGCUAAUAAAUUAUUAGUCUUUAACUUGAAUACGACAAAUUUGAAGUUGUAAUCGGAUCACAUGUUUGUUUGUAUGCAAAAAAUUCUAGACUUUAAUCAUGUCAUAUGUAAUGAGAGAUACUAAUAAACUAUUAGUUUUUAACUUGUAUACAAUAAAUUUGAGGUUGUAAUCGAAUCAUAUGUUUGCUUGUAUGCGAAAACUUUAAAAGUGCAUUUCAAGUACCAUUUUACUUGCAUAAGAGAAAUUUCGCCUCGCACCAUAAAGAUACUAAUAAGGAAAAAUUGAAGGGAAAUUUUAUUUAAACCCAUCUAACCUAUUUUUACACCCAACUUACUAUUUGCACUCAUUUGAUUUUUAAUUAAACUAUUAAUAUCUCUUUAAACCCAAAUUUAAUACCUAAUAUACCCCCAUAAACUCAAUUCAAUAUGUAAAUUUAUUUUUACACCCAUUUGAUUUUUAGAAGCUAAAUUUGAUGGGAGGAAGCUCCUCCUGUAAUCUGAACUUGAUUUCUUUGGUCUGGCCCCGUACUUAUUCCAUUCCACAGGACACUCCCACCAGGACUUUGCAUGGGGCCGCCAUGCUCCUUGACAGGCCAUCCAAACAAAUUAGGAUUAGUAGAUGCUUUUGUGGCAAGUGAUUCCAUGCACCUUUUUGGAAUGUUGAGUUCUUCAGCAUAAAGGAGCAUGUCAUCACAAGUUUGAAGUGUCUUUAGAGAGUCCUUGCAAUUUCGAAGAACUACUUGAUUGAGAAAGGCUUCACUUUGUGUGAUUAAGUUGUCCUCCCCGUACUCUUCAGUCAUUUCUAGAUGUUGGAAUUGACAAUGAGAGAAACUGGAAACAACCAAGGUUGAGCAGAAUCGUAUAGUUUUCUAAUUGCAAUUAAGGCUAAUGAAAUUGCUGAUCGUAUCGAAGUCAGAUCAUGGUUUUCUAAUUGCAACUCAUGGUUUGCCAAUUCAUAAAUUGAAAUCAAACCAACAAAAAAUUCAUAAAUUGAGUCAUACCUUGGUUGGAGGAUUCAAAACUUCAAAAUCACCAUCCAUCAAUAAAAAAAACUUAUUUUUCUCUAUGACAGCUAUUAGGGUUUUAGCUAGAAUGAACCUAGGAUAAAAAAAGAGUGAUCGUAGGGUUUAAUUAUAGUGUUUGGGUUUAUUGAUAAAUUUGAGUUUUAUUAUUAAUUUCAUUUUGUACUUAAUAGUAAUUAUGCAAUAGGGUAAAAUAUAAAAUUAACAUUUAAAAUUUAAGUUGGGUGUAAAAAAAGAUUAAAUGGGUUUAAAUAAAAUUUUCCAAAAUUGAAAAUAAAUAAGUCAGAUUUCCUCUCCAUAUCAAAAAACCAAAAAAAUAAAAAUAAAAAUAAAAAACCUCGCAGAUUCCCCAUCGGAUUCGGAAAAUCAUAAACUCCAACCAACCGUCGGAUCAGAUCCCCAUCCCUUACCCUAUAUAUUCGUAGAACCCCUUCACCGCUUCUUCACAACGCAACCCCGAAAACCGACUUCGCGCAAGAGAAUAAAAAGGAGCCACCUUUUCAGUUUUCCACAGAGCUACCACUGCAACCAUGGCGGCCACCGUGUCUCCGUGGGCCAAGCCCGGCGCCUGGGCCCUUGCCGCCGAGGAGCAGGAAGCCGAACUCGAACAGCAAGCCAAAGAGGAACAACAACGCGCCGUUGAGCCGCCCUCCGCUGACUUCCCAUCUCUCUCUGCAGCCGCCGCCACCAAGCCCAAGAAGAAGAAACAGACCAUCUCCCUCGCCGAGUUCAAUAACUUUGGGGCGCCCAAACCCAAGCCCGCGGAGCAUCCCUUGGGCCUGACGCACGAGGACCGGAUGCAUUUGCCGACCGGUCCGCGCGAGCGAACAGCCGAGGAGCUUGAUCGGAAUCGGCUCGGCGGCGGGUUCAGGUCUUAUGGGGGCGAUCGGGGAAACAGCAGGUAUUCCAAUGGUGACGAGUCUUCGGAGUCGAAGUGGGGUUCGGGUCAGAGGAAGGAAGGUGGGUUUGGGAGGGAAUCGAACCGAGAUGAGCCUUCGAGAGCGGAUGAGGUUGAUGAUUGGGGCGCCAAGAAGAAAUCGAUGCCGGGAAAUGGGUUUGAGAGGAGGGAGAGAGGAGGACCUGGAGGUAGUUUUUUUGGUGGGUCACAGUCGAAGGCUGAUGAAUCCAACAGCUGGGUGUCGAAUAAGAGCUCCAUGCCGUCGGAGGGACGGAGAUUUGGCGGUGGUGAUGGCGGGUUUGAUCGGGAGAGGAAAGUAGGGUUCCCAUCUAAUGGUGGUGCUGAUUCUGAUAAUUGGGGGAGGAAGAAGGAGGAGACUAAUGGUGGGUCUGGAUUUGAUAGAGAGAGAAAAGUUGGGUUCGUUUCCAAUGGCGGUGGUGCGGAUUCUGAUGUUUGGGGGAAGAAGAGGGAGGAGAGUAAUGGUGGUCUUAGUGAGAGUACUGCGAGGCCCAGGCUUAAUUUGCAGCCGAGGAGUUUGCCUGUGAGCAACGAGACCUCACCAGGUUCGACCACUGCACCGAAGCCCAAGGGCUCUAACCCAUUUGGUGCUGCAAGACCGAGGGAAGAGGUGUUGGCGGAGAAAGGGAAGGACUGGAAGGAGAUUGAUGAGCAGCUUGAGUCUGCUAAGAUUAAGGAGGUGACGGAGAUAGCGAACAGCGAGUCGUUUGGGAGGAGGAGUUUUGGGAUGGGAAAUGGGCGUGCUGGUGAUCGAACUGAGAGAGCUUGGAGGAAGCCUGAUUCGGCUGAUUCACGGCCCCAGAGGUUGGUUAUUUCAGUAAUAUGAUUGAUUGGGAAUCUGAAAUACUCGAAGUUAGGAUGCUUAGUUGUAAAGUUUGAUCCUUUCUAUACUUUUGCAUGUUGAUUUUGAUUGUAUGUUGCUGUUAGAAUUGUUUGAAUGAGCUUUUGGGAAAUGUUGCUUGAUGGAACAGUGACUUCGCAUAUUGGUUUUAUGUUGUGUGUGUGUGUGUGUCAUUCAGUUUUUCUUUGUAUAAAGGGAUAGUUUUGGUCAACUCUCUAAACCUUGUGGGGGAGAUGUAGGGCAUUCAUUUACACAUCUAUGUCCAAGGGAAGCUUAUUGAACUCUUGACAAUGUUUCUGUAUUUCAAAAGAAUUUUACUCUGCUGACCAUUGUCUGCUAUCUUCUUGAUUGGUGUUUACGAAAUUCUUGGUGGUUUGAUGAAUUGAAAUCCACUUCUGAGGUGUUUUGUUAUGAUCCGUCUCAUGUGUGUGCAUAGACAAAAUUAAAUUAGUGGCACUUUUUCAUUUUGUACCUUAUUACAUAUUUUGAAUGUUGAGCGGUGAUCCGUAGAUGUGUAUCCUUCUGCUGUUUGCACAAAGAAAGAAGGUGUUUUACGCACUAAUUGCGGUUGCUAGUAUAAGCUAAUUUCUGAAUACUGGGCUAGAAGGAUAUAACCAUCUUCAACGUAAUCAUUUAAAGUUUAAGGCUCAUGCAACCAUGCAUUCCUCGUCCGUUAGUUUCAACUUUGUAACUUGUCACUGUGCGAUUGCAUGUGCUUCUAACUACGUGUUCCUAUUUUCAGAUUUUGUUAAAAAUUUGAUCCUCAUUGUUUUCUUUGGGUGCAGUGCUGAUAAAAGUGAGACUAGGAGCAACUCUGAGGAAGCACAGAACGAGCAUGUUGAGUCAGAGAACGGGCAUAUUGAACCAGGGAAUGAGCAUGUUGAUGAAAAUUGAGGAGGAGGUUUUACAAGUUCGGUGUAAGGCAUGGGAAAAGAUUUAAGGUUACUAGAGAGCUUGGAUCCAUGAGGCUGUUGAAUUUUCAGUUUCUAUAAUUUAUGUUCCCUGCUGCAACUGUUAUAACAUUGAACUUGAGACGAUUUUUGUAGGCUUUUUAAACAGUUAUACUAGUUUUGCUCAUAGGAUUUGUUUGUAUGUUGUAUUUAAGAUUGAGUACUGUUACUCUAAUUAUUAUUUUUGACCCUUAAAGCUCCCCCGGUUCCCACAUUUGUUGAGCGCUUGUGCAUGGUGUGCAGAUUUUGGUUUUGAAGUUGUGAUCAAGUAAAUCUAGAGUUUUCAGGUGUUCUCUAUAACUUUCUUCUUUUCUUUGACAUGAGAUGUUGUAUAACUUUGUAGGUUUCUGUUUGUGUGAUCGAUAUGUUGCUGAAUGUCUGCUUGGUGCGAGAUGAACAGGGAACGAUACAGGACGAGGGUUAUAGCUUACUGCAUUUAUGUAUUCUGGGUUCAUGCAUUUGUUCUGCUAUAUUGAAAAUAUCUGGUUCAUAUAAUAAUGUAAUUGAUACCAUGAGCAAAAUUUGAGGCAGUGAUUCUCUAUGCACGGACGUCCAUGAAGAAGAAAGUUGAGGUUUCAUUAUAAAAUUAAUCGGUCAUAUGGUGAGUAGUUUAAUUUACUUAUAAGUUCAUGCAAAACCCCUUCUCUCAUCAAUGUGAGAUUCAUUCUUAACUGUCCAUUUUUUACUUAAAUGACUGACGCAUUGAGAAACUGUAAUUUAAACUCUUUAACUCUUUUUACACUGAAACGGACGUCCUGUCUAAAAAAGAACGAGGUGUUUUUCGUCUCCCACACAUAAAAAUAAAAAGUUCACCUUCUUCAUGUGCCCUAGCUAUCACAUGGACAGACACGAGAGAAAGGCCAUACCUUUUGCAGAUGUGUAUUGGCUGGCUUUGCAAAUCAUCACUCUCUCUCUCUCUCAUGAUCUCAUCAAUGUGUGGUGCUACUUUGACGGCCAACGAAAACCCUCCAACCAGCAACUGCUUGGAAUUCAUAUGAUACCAUCUGGCGGCAAACCGACCCACGGCUCUAAUAAUGGUAAUAUGGACUUUUUAUUUUAUUGCCUAGAAAGCAAAAACUCAGGCCCACCGACUAGUGUUUUCUUUGCCAGUUCUCAAAAUUAACAAUGUUUACUAUAGUCUAUUGGUAUUCUUUUUCAUUUGUAAGUGAAAUUUUAGGUUUGAUUCUUUCAAAAUGCGAGUUUCAAUCACAUUAUUGCUAGCCCAUUGUAAGCUCAGUUCACCCUCUCCUCUUAGUAUACAUAAUAUUGUUUGUUAAAAAAAAAACAAUAUUUACUCAUAUAAUUUAGGGUACCCUAUAAUUUACUUGUACUAUUAAUUUCAGUUGAAGUUCACAUGAAAAGCGUUUUCAACUUUUGACUUGCGUAACUGGAGGUAACUAGCUAGGUUUACAACGAGACUUAGGUCUCAUUACUACGUAUAAUUUAGAAUCCACAUGCAUAGAUUUGAUACAGAAUGAUUGUAAUACUAUUGCACAUGGAUGCUAAGUUAUACAAAUCAACAAAAAAUAAACAUUUGAUCGAAACUAGUAUUGGAAGUAAACCGUAAACCGUAAGCAUAAAUUUGGUAAAUUUAAAAUCAGUACUUAAAUUUAUUAAUUAUCAUGAACCGUAAGUAUCACUUGUGACUUUCAAUCAAAAUUUAAAGAGGUUCCAAGUUUGAAUCCGCCAUCUUAUUUGACAAAACUCAUGCAUGGAAUACUGCAAUUAAAUCUCCAACUCAUGCACAUUAAGUUAAUUUCUAGAUGUAGAUGGUUUAGGCCAUUAACUGUUGGUCCAUGGCACUUGUGAUUCAAACAUUAGUUGUAAUGAAACCAAGAAUAUGGGGUUAUUAGAACCAAGCCUUAAACGUACCUCUGCAAGUCUGUACUAUCAAUUGUCCCUCCUAGUUUGAAAAAUAGUGUUCCAUUUCCCCUCACCAUAAAUAUUGGCAGUUGAGAGUUGGCAUAUAAGCAUUGCUUUCACUCCUAGUUCUUCACUCUCUCUCUCUCUCUCUCAUGGAUUGGCCGGAGAAAUUCUUUCUUGUAGCAAUUCUGGUUUUGUUUGUAGGCCAUUGAUGCAGCUCAGGCAAAUACAAUGGUGAGUGGCACUGUCUUCUGUGACCAAUGCAAAGAUGGUGACAGAUCCCUCUUUGAUUACCCCAUCUACGGUGAGUUCCCUACUCUGUAAUUCCCAAUACUACAUUCUCCUUUUUAAUUUAUUUUCGGCGAUUGAAGCCGAAAGAAAGUAAGACAUCCGCUGUUGUAGAUUUGUUAGUAUGAUCUGCUAUACACUAGCAUAGUAGAAUUUUUGAAUCACAUUCUCUACUUAGACUCUUAAUGCUGAACUUAUAUGCUUUGAUUUUUGUAGGAGUUAAAGUACAAGUGGCAUGUAGUGACAGUAAUGGGCAGAUCACAAUGUCAAGGGAAGAGACUACAAAUUGGUUUGGAAACUAUGCCAUCGGGUUUGAUGGGACACCAGAUUUGAGCGGCUGUUAUGCUCAGAUUUCUUCAAGCACAGGGAGUGGCUGUGUGGUUAGUGCUGGUCCUGCUCAAAAUCUUAGACUUGUGUUUAGAAUGUUUGACAUGGGGAUGUAUGUUGUGGACUCUUUGCUCACUCAGCCUGCUCAGCCCAUGUCAUUUUGCCCCAAGUCAUCUAAUCCUGUGCCUGCACCGGUAACGCUGGUUAACCCUCUGCCUAAACCAGUGACGCCGGCAAGCCCUCCGCCUUUUAGGCUCCCCCCCCCAAUGCCUUGAUUGCCGCCACUGCCACCACUGCCCUCGUUGCCUCCAAUGCCGCCAAUGCCCUUCUUGGAAGCUACAGCAUGCCCACAUCAGUAAGCUAUUCAUUAAGCAAAUCGCGUUCGUGUUGGAUUGUGUCAUUCAUUCUUUCGCAAAUCACGAUUUGACACAUUGUAGAAUAUCUAUAAAAAAAAAGUUUACACUCAAGUGUAAACUGUGAUUGGCAAUCAAGUAAGAAUGACUUUCACCAUAGGGAUGAGCCAAAUAUGAAUUUACCAAGUUGUACUAGACUGAAAUGCAUUAGGGUUUAGGGCUGUUUAGCACAACUAAUUCACUACAAAAAAUUAAGAUUUGUUUCUCCGUAUUAGUGUAUACAUGAUUGUUUCAUGACAAGUUGACAACUAACUCUUGAUAUAGUGAUAUUUCUUUUUUCAAACGAAUUCCAAGUUCGAACAUGCCUUCCCUUUCUAUUAGCAAGAAGAAAUGUGUUCCUAGUUGGCAAGCCUCUUUUGCUGACUGUGUGAUCGGAUUGUGAUUCUCAGACAGUGGACACUACCAGAGCACAAAUGCUACUGGAGGGCAGUGAACCCGAACACGAAGGUAGCCGUUAUUUUUGGACCGGUGGUGGCUAGGAGAUAUGGGACUGACCUCACAUUGUGGCAAGGCCUACAGGGAAGAGGAGACCCUUAUAGGACACUCCUAAGGGAAGGGAUCACUGCAUUUCUCAACUCCUACAGCAGCCUUCAAUUUCCUUACAAUUCAAUUGCUGUGGUUCAGCAUUUGAAUUGGGCCUUGAUGGGCUCCAACAGAAAUGUCCUCCUUAAAGGAUUGAGGUUCAUUAGGGCUAAUUCAGGUUAUGGGAAAGUCCCUUGCAAAUUUACUGCUUGCAAGUGAUUUGUGUUUAAGCUUGCUUCUAUGUUUAUCUUAGGCUACAAUUAUGUAUUUUUCAUUUUAGAGAGGAGGAGGCCGAGAGUCGAACUCUAAUUAUUAUGAGUAUAGAGUUAAAGUGCUCUGCCAUUGAAGCUAUAAGCUCUUGCGUAGUAUAAUAUGUACCACACAUUUUUAUGUAUUUUAUUUGAACAAUAGUUCAUCUUCGUCUAUAUUUUUUGUGUUGAGUUGUAUUUCAUCCACAUCUUACCAAUUUGAAGAUUAUAUUCAUACUUACAAGAAUGAGCCAACACUUCAAUGCAGAGGGUAAAACAUAACAAAUUACUACGUACCAAGUAGGAUUCAUCAUUGAGCUCAGCUAGGCUCGGGCAGUGCCCAACGGCCUUUGGGUUGGGCUAGGUCCGAUGGAUCGUGGAUGAUCCAUUCCUUGACCUAAACUCAUGGGUGCUUGGUAACUCUUGAGGUACAUGUGUCAACAGGUAAAAGACAAAUUAAUGCUCGUGGCUUACUUAAUUUUUAUCUAACUACUCUUAUUUAGAUAUGCAACUUAAAUGUACAUUUUUUAUGUGCACUAGAUAAAGCCCCACAUUUAACUUUGGGUUUUCUAGUGGUGAUCCAUGGCAGCUCCAUCAGUGUACUUUCAUGGAACCUCGUGACGGAGGUUGAGUGGGAGUUUGCGGGUGGUUGGUGGCUGGGGAAGUUUAGGAUGGCUACUGAGUUUUGCAAGUUCACAUGCAUUAUCUUCAAAGAAACAAAGGAUGACUCUACACUGUAGUAGUGAGGCAUUAUUGAUAAGUCGAUAGUAACAGUAAGGCAUCACACUUGGGUUUCAAUCAAAUGAAGCGGCCCCAGUCACAAAUCGGUGACAAUGAUGUCUCGAGAUUAUCAACUUGCCCACUUAAAGUCUUAUUUAGAAUUAGAACGUCAAACUCAAAAUUAAUUGAUAAUAAAAUGUAAUCAUCUCCACAUCAACGUCAACAAUGUGAUACACAUGAUUGAUACAAUGUGCAAGCAAAAGACAAAAAAUUAAAAAAAUUUCACCACCAUUAACCAUAUUCUGCAUAAUCAUCGUGAAAAAAGUGACAGAAAUAUUGAUGCGAUUUCUUCCUACAUGUACGAAACAAAGGAACAAUUAUUUCGACCCACUAUGCUUCAACCUGGUUUCACACUAUGCAACCUUAUCUAUAUAUCUCAAGAUAUUAUGUUGCUUUCACAUAUUUUCUAAGGCAACCAUCAAAGAGAUAAGAUAACGAGGGCUUGUUUAGUGAGCUGGAUGAGAUUGAAUUAUAGAGAUAAGUUUGGAGUGGUAGGGAUGGAUUACAUAACUCAUGUGUAUGGUUGGGUUACAUAACCCAUCAUAUUUCUCUUAUUUUGAAUUCGUAGUCAAUCUAAUCCGUGUUACAAUUUUUCUCACCAAACAUUGACUGGAUUACAUGUCCAAUUUAAUUAGAAACAACUCAUUCCAUUCUGUCCACCAAACGGGGUCUCAAAGUAUCUUUUUAAACGUGCCCGGCAAAUUGUAGUGAUGCUGGUCCUUGUGGUCACAGUACCAACAGCAAUAAUGGUGCUGGAAUUGGUGGAAGCAGUGGGCAGAUUUUUUUCUGUUCACACUAUUUCAUAGCUGUUUGUGAUACUUUUCUACUUUCGGAUCCUAUAAAUUUGUUUACACCAAGUUUGGAGUUGCAGAGGCUCCACUAAUACUGCUUCCAUGGAGAAACCAAACCUCCAUCACUUCUCAUCCUUACUUCUGGUUUUUCUGUUUACAUUGUCGCUUGGGACUCGGACAACGGCGGGCCGGAAAUUCUCGAUCAGGGAAGCCACCAUUGACGAUCUCCAACUCGCUUUCAAGCACAACCUACUCACCUCAAGGCAACUUGUCCAGUUCUACCUUGGAGAAAUCAAAAGACUCAACCCUUUCCUUAGGGCGGUCAUAGAAGUGAACCCGGACGCGCUUUACUUGGCUGACAAGGCGGAUUAUGAACGCAAGACUAAGGCGCCGUCCGCGUCACACUCUAAGUUACAUGGGAUUCCUAUUCUGGUCAAGGACAACAUUGCUACCAAGGACAAGUUGAACACCACAGCUGGCUCGUAUGCUCUGCUUGGCUCGGUUGUUCCUCGUGAUGCGGGUGUUGUCACCAAGCUGAGGAAUGCCGGGGCUAUUAUACUGGGAAAGGCCAGCCUGAGUGAGUGGUCCCAUUGGAGGUCCAACGGUGCACCUUCCGGUUGGAGUGCCAGAGGUGGCCAAGGGGUGGUGAGUAGAGGAUCAUUAAAUUUAGUUCCCUCCUACGUAUAUAUAAAAUACCCUUCACUAUCACUUGUAUGAUUAAUCAAUGUUUAAUCGCCGAAUAUUUAAUAUGUUAUGCUGUGAAACUGUCGAGCUAAAACUUACAUUCAAAUAAUAGUAAACCUGAUUAGUUUUGCAGACUGACAAUAUAGCUUGACAGACUGUCUCCUAAGAUAACAUUUCUAUAGUUUAGACUGAACAAGGCAGAAAAAAAAAUCAACAGACUAAGCUUGUUAGGUGGAAUGCAGAACCCUUACAAUUCUCUUGCAACACCUUGCGGCUCAAGUAGCGGUUCAGCAAUAUCAGCGGCAGCAAAUCUGGCAACAGUGACACUCGGGACUGAAACAGAUGGAUCAAUUUUAUGUCCAUCCAGUUAUAACUCAGUCGUGGGCAUCAAACCAACAAACGGUCUUACUAGUCGAGCAGGGGUAGUCCCAAUCUCCCUAAGACAGGACACAGUUGGGUAAGUGGUGAUCAAUUUACGUAAUUUCUACACAAUAUAGAGGACGCUCUUGCGUAAACUUAGUUUUGGAUAAAUUUUAGUCUUAUUUACUAUUUUUUCUCUCUUUGUUUGUUGGUGUUGGGUUGAACAGGCCAAUUUGUAGGACAGUAUCAGAUGCUGCUUAUGUUCUUGAUGUCAUUGCAGGCAUCGACCAGAACGAUGUUGCAACGACUAAGGCAUCGAGGUACAUUCCCAAGGGUGGCUACGCACAGUUCCUCAGGCGUGAUGGGCUUAGAGGAAAGCGAAUAGGGAUAGUGAGAGCCUUAUUUAACAUCUCCGGCCAAACUUCGUCGACUCCAAUUUAUGAAAAACACUUCAACACGCUGAGGUAACAAAAAAAAUCAUAGAUUAGUCUCAAUCGGAGACAUGUAUCUAUUCUUAUGAAAUACUAAUUAAGUUGUUGGAAAAUUAAAUUUAGGAAAGGUGGUGCUGUUUUGGUGGACAAUUUGAAAAUACCACAUUUUGAUGAAAUCUAUUCCGAUGGAAGUAGUGAAACUACUGCACUGUCAGCUGAGUUCAAAAUAUAUAUAAACACAUACCUUAAGGAGUUGGUGGCUUCGCCAGUCCGAUCCUUGGCGGAUUUGAUAGCCUUUAACAAUAAAAACGCUAAAUUGGUGAGUACAUAGGUGCAAACUGAUGUUCUUCCCAAACUACGGUCUUCGUUCUGAAUAAGUAGGCUGUGGAAACUAAAACGAUUUUGAUUACUUGGAAUGCAGGAGAAGGUGAAGGAGUAUGGCCAAGGCCUAUUUUUAGAAGCUGAAGCAACAAAUGGAAUAGGAAGUGCAGAGAAGGCAGCAUUGUUAAAUUUGGCAAGAUUUGCGAAGGAUGACUACGUGAAUUUAGUGACGAAGAACAAGCUAGAUGCCGUGGUGGCUCCUCUUGCACAAGUGUCGCCGUUGCUAGCGAUUAGCGGCUCCCCGGGUGUGGUUGUCCCAGCAGGAUAUGAUGAUGGGGUACCAGUUGGCCUUUCCUUUGGGGGGCUGAGGGGUUGGGAGCCAAAGCUAAUUGAAAUGGCAUAUGGCUUUGAGCAAGCAACUAAGAUUAGGAAGCCUCCUUCACUUACAAAGUUGAAGUUUUAGAGCUACACUAAGUUGUAAUGCCCGUGCGCUGUUGCAUAAUUAGAAAUCAACUUUCCAGCAGUAAAUAAAUUUGAGCUACUAAAUGUAUGUUAGUAUAACAUUGAUAAAUCUAAAUAAAAAUAUCUCAAGAGAGGAAUAAUUUUAUUUGCUGCAGAAAAAUUCUUGUUUUGUUAUUUUACAAAUGCAAUUCGCUCCAACUUCCUUGGUAUCAUUGCUCAUCUCAACAACAAUCUUUGACAUUCUAAACAACUAAAAACGAAUGCACAAUUUCUCAAUCAAAAUUAGAAGCAAACCGAUUCAACAAUGAAAACAUUUGCAAACAAGCUGUAUAAGCAUUAAAUGUGAAGGGGGAACGAACCUUCUGCAUGGUCUUCUUGAAGCAUGUUUUAUGUUUAAUUAUAGAUGCAUUGAGUCACUUAGUACUAUGGUAUAUUGGUAUUCCUCUUCACUUGUAAGUAAGAGGUUUUAGGUUUGAUUCUUGCUAAAGGCGAAUUCGAACCAAAUUAUUGCUAGCCCAUUGUGAGGCUAAGCUCAUCAUUUUCUUUUUAGUGUAGAUUAUAUCGUUUGUUCAAAAAAAAAAAAAAAAAAAACCCAUAGAUGCAUUGACAAAAUCAUCAAUGUGAUUCUUUAAAUCCUCCAAGAAAGUGGCUUGCUCGAUGCGACUCUUCGCUAUUGUGCUUUUAUUAUGACUAGUUGGACCACCUAUCCAUUAGACCCAUUAUAUAGAUAAUAUCAUUAGACCCAUUUACAUCUCAAACCCUACUAUCAUUGGAUGUAUUUAAACUAUUUUUCUUAUAUAAAGACGAUUAUGAAUGAAGAUAUGAAUUUACUUUGAUUUAUUUUCCAUUUUUUGCAUUUACUUUUUUGCAAUUUCCCUUUCAUGUCUAAUCCUAUCAUGCUCGUUCUUCUUUUAACAUGAAGUGGCGGCUAGGGUUGCAGCAGUAGGUGAUGGCUCAUGUUGAGUUUUAUGUGAUUCCAUUGUUAGUAGCACCUGAUACAGAAGUCAUUCAUUAUAGAAGAUCUAAACGAAUGACAGACCAGUGGGUUUCAAUUUUAAAUAAUGCAAACCGAUCAUUUUAAAAAUUCAAGCCACUGCAACACAUUCAGUACUAUCAAUAUAUGCAGGAUAAAAAAACUUAAGUAGACUUAAGUAGAACCAACCAACAAAUUCAGUUUGAUUUAUUUUACUCUUGGUCUAAAUGUUACUAGCAAGAAUGUCCCCGCUCUGCUGCGGUAUUUGAAACCGUUAAUUGUGCUUUCAACAAAAUAAUUCUAUAAUUUAAAUCAUCCAAACUUGGUGAACAUGGUAUUUUGUCUAUCAUUAUAUCCUUCCUCUCACAAUUUUUAUGGAAUAAAAAUCCAAACUUUAAACAAUUCUUAACAUAAUUUUGCAAAUAAUCUUGCAUUUAAGCACGUUCAAAACCAGCAGCUCUUUCAAUUUCUUUUCUAAAGGAAGAAAAGGAAAAGUGUUCAUCGCUGAUAUUGUGCAUCCAAUAUACUGGUUUCUUGUCUACCUUCUCCUGCUGAGACCAUCUUCAAAGGAAAUGUCAAAUUAUAAGAGUCAAAUUACAAUUGAUGGUUGAUGUGAUAAUCUGAAGCCUUAUGUCAAAUUUUGUACUUCUCCAACCGAACUGUUAAAUAUUAUUUUAUUAUUUAAAUAGAGCUUUAAAUGAUUGUAAUUAUUAAAAAAAUGUUGAAACAAAAUUUUUAUUGAUUGAAAUGUUAGUAGAAAAAGGGAUCCACUAUUAAAAUGAAUUAAAAAUAAAUUUGACAUCAAAUCGUUAAGCCUUAAAAUCCAAUCAGCAAAUAACAUUUCAUUUAGAAAGACUUUUAAUGUUAAAUAUGUACAUUGACAUUCCACCUAGAAUUUUAACAUCUCCCUCGAAGAUGCUCUAAUCCUGUUAUCAAAAACCCAUCUCAUUCUUUCCCUCAGAGACUUGAAACCCAAUCCCAACGUCCAUGUACCACCUCCCAAUAUCAAUUCCUAACAAAAUAAAUGCAAAAGCAAAAUCAGCAGCACUUUCAAAUAUAUUAAAGGAAAAGUGGGAACUAUUAUUAAGAAGGGUAUUGUUAGAGAGACUAAAUUCAGAAACUAAAUUUAUAAAUUAAAUGAUGUGUCACUAAUAGAAAUGAGUACGUUUAUAAAUGUUUAAGUAAUAAAUCAAUCAUCAACUUUUAUAUCCUUUAGUUUCCAAAAUUUAGUUUACAAAUUUAAUCUCCCUAACAUUACCAUAUCAAGAAAGGUGCAAACGAAAUGCAUUCAUCACUGAUAUUGAAGAGAAAACGAAGUGUAUUAGUAUAUUUAUGGGUAAAUUACAUUUUACUCCCUCAGGUUUGGAUGUAAUUGCAACCUUAUAUAACAUCUUUAAAACAUUUCAAUCUCAUACAUUAAGUUAUUAUUUUAUUUUAAUUUCAUAUAACCGAUAAAAAUUUUGUUAAAUUAGUUGUUAAGUGAUGAUGUGGUAGUGGUGGGCUCUACAAUUUUAUUGAUAUGGCUGUCAGCUUGUGCCACGUGGCAAAACAAAUAAAAAAUAUAUAAUUAAUAAAAUAUCUUUCUUUUGUUAAAUUUUUGUAUUAAAAAAAAAAGCCAAACCCUCCUCAGUCUCGCGCCAUUCAAGCCAUCAAGGUAUAAAAUAUCGAUAAUAUCGGAAAUAUCGGUAGUCUAAAAACACGAAAAUAUCGAUGGAAAUAUCGAGAUAUUAUCGAUAAAAAUAAUAUGGAAACCAUGGAAAUUGUAAGAAAAACUUGGAAAUUUUUAUUGAAACUUUGUAAGAUGUUUAUUUAGUCAAUUAUCUAUUAGUUUAUCACAAAAAAAUUGGAAGGAAAUGCAUUGCAUGAUAGAUUUAACUGAUUUAAGUUGAUUAUUUAGCGAGCUGGCAAACAUUGUGAGUGUAGAAAAUAUGUAGUAAUUAAUGAAAGAAGUUUAAACACACCAUAAUCAUUUAUAUAUAAUGAAUUAGUACAAUAUUUUACACUUUAUACAUUGUAUGGUAAGAUACAUGAGUGACUUAGUACCACAUAGAGCUCCUAUGAGGUUCAAAAUUUUCACUAUCUUCGUCAUCUCUAUGUGUAGAGUAAGUGUAUUUUAGCAUAUUUUUACAAAAAACAUAAGUGAUAUGGUGGUCAAGGUGUUGAAGGAGUAAAAUGGGAGAGGUUCGAACCCCUUUGGUGUUUUUUUAAAUAUAGAAAUCCUUGGUGUUUUUUUAAAUAUAGAAAUUUAUCCUAAAUAAUAAAUAUUAGCUUGCAAGCCUUGCAGACAUCUUAACGACCAUAUAAAUAUUACAAGCUGAAUAUGUAAUCAUAAACACAUCUAUAAUGAGUUGGAUAAAACUCAGGUGCGUGGUUGACAAAGGGUGGGGUUCGAAUCCACUUGGUGUAUUUUUUUUAUUUUUAUUUUUUUUAUUGGGGAAGAACCUUUCCAAAGAAAGGAGACAAUUUUUUUUGGGGAAGAACUUUUUUGUUUUAUGUCCCCUACCCGAGACCCCCUUUCUUUCUUUCUCUGCACACUCUCUUCUCUCUCGAAACCCUCUCAUCACUCUCACUCUCUCUCCCGUGAUUACCCUAGUACACGGCACCCACACCAUCGUUCCGUAGACGCCAUCACCAUCAAAACCUCGUCUUUCUCUCUCUUCCUCUUGUCUCUGCAAGAUCGACGAAACCCAGAAACCUCCGGUGAGUUUUCUUCACUUUCUCCGGUUAGGUAAACUUUGGGUUUAACUCUAUUCGUUCUAGUUGAAGCUUGGGUGUGUGUUAUUAAGUGUUAUACUCGUAAUUUUCCAAGAUUUUGGAACGAGAUCAGGUCGGGGGAAAGCUCACCCAACUUCGGCGAACCCGUGACUGUUGAGGAGCUUUCCGAACACCUUCGGCCAUUUCACGGCAAACCAAGGGUAUAAACUUACUCCUCUCUCUUUCCUCUUCACGUUGGUAAUUAGAUCGGAGUCUAAGGUUUGCGUUUGUAAUCGGUCGGAGCUGUAGAAGCUCCGGCGUUCUUCUUCGAUUUGCACAUAUCCAAAAUAUCGCGAUAUUAUUAAUAUUAUCGAUAAUAUCGCGAUAUUUUGACGAAAACUCAUUAGAUAACCAUUAAAAUAUCGGUAACUCAAAAAACCGAUAUUAUCGGCCAUAUUUCGCCGAUAAUAUCGGCAUUUAAGACCUUGCAAGCCACUGUAACAAAUUCAGUACAAUCAUCAUAUGCAGAGUAAAAAAACCUAAGUAGAACCAACCAACAAAUUCAAUUUGAUUUAUUUUACCAUUGGUCUAGAUGUUAUAAUUGAAAACUUGCUUAUGUAUCGAGGAAAAGUAUGUUGAAAAUGCAUAAAUUUUCUUCCCAAUAUACAUGAGUUUGUAAAAGGAAAUACUAUUAUGAAAUUUGAAUUUACUUGGUCAAGUAAUGAGUGGCCUUUUGUUAGUACCCCGGUCAAUUCUUGACAAAUAUAUUAUUUUACUUUCUUUGAUAAUAGCUAAAAAUAUUGUCAGUAAAUUAUUAUUUCAAUUCCCGAAAUGAUAUGAGGAUUUAAAAUAUUGAAAUAGAAAAAUGCUUGUUAAAAUGUACAAAGAACGGCGCUUAAUUGUCAAGAAAAGAAAAUUAUGACAAAUUUAUUUUUUUAUUUUUUAACUUGUUAAAAAAAGAAGUAAAUAGACAUGGGGUUACGGUUAAAUGCAUACACGACUACAAACAACCGUUUAUAAAAAGUUAUGAAUAUUAGUAUACCCGAUUAUUCAAUUAUCCAAUAAAUAAAGCAGUUCGCUGCUUGUCAUAACCGCACAACAAAUAUAUACUAACCUAAGAUAUCUUAAUUUAUGUUAGCAACAAAAGCAAUAGAUUAAACAAUAAUAAAUGCAGCAGUACAAAAAUAAAGUUGAAAAUAUAAUGAAUUAUACGACUCCAUUCCCAAAAGCAUCGAAAGCAUAUAGCACCAGACAGAGGAGAGAAAGUGAGGUAGUGUGUCAAUGGCAGCUGGGGAUGACUUUCCCUUGACGGGUGGAGGUGAGUUCGAUUUUGUUUGUUUGAUUCAAUUUAGAUUUAACUUGGUUUUUAGUUUGAUUAAUUUUGUCUUAAUUUGGUUUGCAUUAGACUUAAAUUACAGAUUAUUUGGUUUCAAUCUGCAUCUUUUUCCUGGGUUUUGGAUGAAUACCUUCACAAAUUAGCCUGCUUGGUAUUCUUCUUAUCCAAUUUUUUCUGUUUUUGAAACUAAUGAGUAUUAAGUAAUGUAGUUAUAUUCGUUCUUUUUAAAAACUAUAAAUUAUUUUAGAUUUUAAGCCUUCUUCUUUCUUUCUUCUGGGUGUGUUUGCUGAUAUCAGGAAAUUUCAAAAAUAUCGUUUAACGUCGUCGAUAUCUCACCAGGGAGACAACACUUUUUAAACAAAAUGAUGUGGUUGUUGAUGAUGGAUUAUUACUUAACGUGCUUAUUUUCUGGUGACACGUUAUUUGGUUUGCAAAUUUGAUUUAAAAUUUUGGUCUUCACAGCAUUACCCUCUCAACAAUAUCAAGUAAAAGUUUAUCUAGUUUGGAAGAAUUCUUUAGUGUGACUGUUAGAUCAUCACGUGACAUUCUAUUUAUGUGUUCUAGGUUCAUGAAUAUCAUCUGUCUUCAACCUAUAUUAUUCAAGACAUGUAAACUAGUAGCAUCAUGUACAAAACCUCCCUCACACUUCAUCCUUAUUUCUGGUUCUUCUCUUUAUAGUGUCGCUCGGGACACAAGCAACUACAGUCCAUGGAUUCUCAAUCAAGGAAGCCACCAUAGACGAUCUCCAACUCGCUUUUGAGCACAACCAACUCACCUCAAGGCAACUUGUCCAAUUUUACCUUUCUGAAAUCAGUAGCCUCAACCCUUUCCUUAAGGCGGUCAUAGAAGUGAACCCGGAUGCGCUUGACCUUGCUGACAAGGCUGACUAUGAGCGCAAGACUAAGGCGCCGUCCGCAACACUCUCCAAGUUACAUGGCAUUCCCAUUCUUGUCAAGGACAACAUUGCA
rnacentral:lncRNA from 1 species